AGCCACUGUAAUAAGAGAAUUCCGAGCUUCACACUAUAUUUAAUGCUUGUGUUACCAUGUUAGAUUUCAUGAAUUAAACAGUGGGUACAGCUUGUAGUGUCGUGAAGAUCAGAACGCACACCGUCAUAGAAACACACAAUUUACCCAUUAAAAUUGUAUACUGAAGAUUGCUGUAAUUACGAAAAUUAAAAAAGUUGCAUAUGCCAUGUACCAUUAUAAUAG